rnacentral:rRNA from 1 species
GACGAACGCUGGCGGCGUGCCUAAUACAUGCAAGUAGGACGAAGUUGCGAACGGGAGAGUAACGCGUAGGGAACUACCUAUUAGAAGGGGAUAACUAGUGGAAACGAUAGCUAAUACCGAAUACUAGUAGAUGGACCUGCGUUGUAUUAGCUAGUAGGUAGGGUAAUGGCCUACCUAGGAAACGAUACAUAGCCGACCUGCGAGGGUGAUCGGCCAAACUGGGACUGGGACACGGCCCUGCAUCCUUCGGGAGGCAGCAGUAGGGAAUCUUCGGCAAUGUGGGGAACCCUGACCGGGCAACGACGCGUGAGUGAAGAAGGUUUUCGGAUCGUAAAGGGCUGUUGUUAAGGAAGCGGUACUUAACCAGAAAGGGACGGCUAACUCCGUGCCAGCAGCCGCGGUAAUUC